rnacentral:rRNA from 1 species
UAAUACGUAGGUGGCAAGCGUUGUCCGGAUUUAUUGGGUUUAAAGGGUGCGUAGGCGGCGCUUUAAGUCAGUGCUGAAAUACUCUAGCUUAACUAGAGGGGUGGCAUUGAUACUGAAGUGCUUGAGUGGAGUCGAGGUAGGCGGAAUUGACGGUGUAGCGGUGAAAUGCUUAGAUAUCGUCAAGAACACCGAUAGUGUAGACAGCUUACUAGGCUUCAACUGACGCUGAGGCACGAAAGUGUGGGGAUCAAACAGGAUUAGAUACCCUGGUAGUCCACACUGUAAACGUUGAUUACUCGCUGUUGGCGAUAUACAGUCAGCGGCUUAGCGCAAGCGAUAAGUAAUCCACCUGGGGAGUACGCCGGCAACGGU